UUUUUUCUUGUAAGUCACAGAAUAACUUUUGGGGGUCAGUUUUCUCCUUCCACUGUGGGUUCCAGGGGUUGAGCUUAGAUCAUCAGGUGAAACCUGCUUAACAAUUUUGGCAGCCCACCACCUUAUUUUGUGAGACAUGAUCUUUUGUUGAACUUGAAGCUCAAUGAUUCAGCUGGACUAGCUGGCCAGUGAGUUCCAGAGACCUCCUAUUUCUGCUGCCACCGAUUUCUGCUGCCACCGUCCCAAGUGCCAAGAUUACAAGCAGACUCCAUUGUGUCCAGCUGCUGCUGCUUUUGUUAUUGUUGUUUUUGUUUGUUUUUUUUCAAGACAGGUUUCUUUUUGUAGCAGUGACUGUCCUGAACCUAGCUCUGUAGACCAGGCUGGCCUCAAACUCAAGAGAUCCACCUGCCUGUGCCUCCCUAGUGUUUGGAUUAAGUGUGCACCACUACUACCGGGCCGUGCCCAGCUUUGUAAAAUGUGGAUUCUGGUGUUAAAAUUCAGAUCCUCAUGCUUGAGAGGAAAGUAUUUUACUGACUGAGCCAUUUCCCGGGCCUCAUUCCCUGUCUUCUUUGUCUGUUCUCUCCAUUCCUCUGUCAUCCAUCUGUUUGCUCAUCUGUCUGGAUGUCUAUUAAUCUAUCACUUUCUAGUGUAUUCCAUUUGUGAGUGUGUCACAGUUAAUUGCAGCUGGUCUCCCAGGUGUGAAAAUGUACGUCUAGAGUAUUUUGUAGUUAAUAAUGCUACAAACUAAUAGCUUUAUACACAAAGUUAUUAUUAUUAUUAUUACUAUUAUUGUUAGGUACCUUGGGGGAUGAAUAAAUAUUUAACUCUUUGUGUGAGUAGUAAUGGAUAAAAGAUUUUAUAAUAAUAUAAAGGUGUUUGCAUAUCCUGUUUUCAUUUCCUGAGGUUUUACUAAAAUAAAAUAGUCAAGGCUAUUGAAAUAAUGCUUUGUUGAAAUUAUUUUUCUGACUGGAAAGCCUUGAAAUCAGUAGGAAGUUGCCUUGGAAACAUUCUUAGUUAAGAAAUAACUACUCACAUGGUUUGGGUCAAGGUUCAUAUUGAGCAGUGGACUGACUGUUCCUGAUACAUAUUCUUAUCAGUGCUGUUUCACCCUACCAGACCGCUGAGUGCCAGGUGUUUGGUGAGACUUCUUUUAAUUUACAUUAGGUUUCUCUGUUUUGCCUGUUACCUGGUGUUUCUUCAGGAUUACAAAGUGACUGUAGUACAAGAUAGUUUUGCAUAGGCUAGAAAUAAAGAUUUCAACUUCUAGAAAUGAUGCUGAUCCUCAGGGGCAUGGUGUCUUAGAGUUUGAGAAAUGUCCCAGUCCUCUAAGGUGAUUGAUGUCCUCAGGUCUCCUGACUCACAUGCAGUGAAAUAGGAGGGAAACCUGCUGCAUUGCUGAUUACCCAGCAAAAGACUGGUAGCAUAGCUUCUCACUGGGACUGACAUGAGUGGGCUACAUAUAUAUCCUGAGGUAGAUGAUCUCAGCUUAGGGUAGUCAGAGCUCUCAAAGCAGAUCACCUCUGCCUCUAAGAAGUCUUCAGUUUCUGUGUAUGAUCCAUGCAGCCUUGCAAUUUUCUGUGUAUCACAUGGGAAAAGCUUGAAGGUGGGUCAGAACAGUGUCAAGUGUCCAAUGCCUCUAAGGAAGUUGCUCUUAAAAGAGACUCAGGUGAUAAGGUGGAUAAGGAAAAACUGGACUAUCUAGGGUAGAAGUUAAAGCUGCUGGUCCAGAAAAGUUGGUAACCAUAUCUUAAAUCUGGGUGACUUGAAAUCAUUCCUAUUCACUUCUUUGCUAAAAUUAGUUAGAAAUUUAAAACAUUUUGAAAUGACUUGACCUAUAACCCCUAAUAGAUGUUGAAAUAUAGUACAGAUCAUAUUAAGGUGGGUGUGGUAGCUAGCUCAUGCUUCCAGUUUCAGCCUGUAGGAAGGUUAAUGGAGGAGGUCUGAGUUAAGAGGCCUGCCGGAAGACUCUGUCUCAAACAAGAAAAAACAAACUUUAUUCUAUUUUUUUAGUCUGAACUUUGACAUUUCCAUUUGUUGGCAUACUGAUAAUGUGUAUUAACAGUGUAUUAAGAAUAAUAGUUACCAGGCUGGAGAGAUGGCUCAGAAGGUAAGGUGUCUGUCACACAAUCAUGAGGCUAUGAGUUCAGCACCCACAUAAAAGUUGUGUGUGGCCGUGCUAAUCUGAAGUUCUAGUAUUGAGGAACUGGGGUGGGUCUGAGGCAAAGUAAGUCCAUGGUGCUCACCAGCUAACCACCUUAACCAAAUUGGUUAGCUCCAGGUUCAGUGGAGACCCUAUAUUAAUAGAUGAGACAAAAGGGCUGGAGACAUGGCUCAGUGGUUUAAUAGUGCUUGCUGCUCUUCCACAGAACUGGAAUUUGGUUUCCAGCACUAAUGUUAGGGAACACUACUAUCUGUAAGUCCAGCUUUAGGCUAUUAAAUAGCCUACCUUUUUCUGACCACUGUGGGAUCCCUCACAUAUGUGGGGUGUGUGUGCUUGCUGCACAUACACAUUCCUACACAAAUUUUUAAAAAAUCAUUAAGACCUACGUACUCAAGUGAAUAUGGUAUGUAUACACCCCCUACACACAUCCCACAUCAUAAACAGCAUAUAUACAAAGGUAUAUUUCAGUGGAUUAGAUUGGUGAACCAAGAUCUAGUGUUUGUUCCACAUACCUCUUGAGUUUGCUGUAUUUCAGUGGUUCUGGUACUUAAGUUCCUUCAGCCCUUACGUGUUCAUAAUAUGAAUGGUUACCUGUGUGCAUGUUGUGUGCCACAUGCAUGCCUGGUGCCAGAAGAGGGUGUUGGAUCCCUGGAGUUAGGGAUGGUUAUGAACCACCAGGUGGGUGCUGGGAACAAAACUCCAUCCUUUGCAAGAGCAGCAGCAAGUGCUCUUACCAGCUGAGCCAUCUCUCCAGCCUCAGUAUUUAAAUGUUUAUCCAAUUAGCAUCUUAUUAAGGUGUUUAAAUCUCUUUAUAUUAUCUCUCAAAAUGUGCUUCUAGAUGUAUUUUAGUUUCCUAAAGUAUUUUGCUAGACAUAUAUGAUUUUGAUUAGAACACUAAGAUAGUUUUAACAGUUGUGCCAAUUUUGGAAUAAACUCAUUAGAGUCAUAUUUUAUUUCAUUUAAUGUGGCUUUGAAUAUAGUUUAGGUCAGGCAUAGGGAGUCUUUUGUUGGCUAAUUCUAUCUGUGUUAGAAAUUUCUCUGUGAAGAUAUGUUUUCAGCUGC
rnacentral:lncRNA from 1 species